AUUGAACGCUGGCGGCAGGCUUAACACAUGCAAGUCGAGCGGGGUGAUGGUGCUUGCACUAUCACUUAGCGGCGGACGGGUGAGUAAUGCUUAGGAAUCUGCCUAUUAGUGGGGGACAACAUCUCGAAAGGGAUGCUAAUACCGCAUACGUCCUACGGGGGAAAGCAGGGGAUCACUUGUGACCUUGCGCUAAUAGAUGAGCCUAAGUCGGAUUAGCUAGUUGGUGGGGUAAAGGCCUACCAAGGCGACGAUCUGUAGCGGGUCUGAGAGGAUGAGCCGCCACACUGGGACUGGGACACGGCCCAGACUCCUACGGGAGGCAGCAGUGGGGAAUAUUGGACAAUGGGGGGAACCCUGAUCCAGCCAUGCCGCGUGUGUGAAGAAGGCCUUAUGGUUGUAAAGCACUUUAAGCGAGGAGGAGGCUCUUUUGGUUAAUACCCAAGAUGAGUGGACGUUACUCGCAGAAUAAGCACCGGCUAACUCUGUGCCAGCCGCCGCAGUAA
rnacentral:rRNA from 1 species